rnacentral:snRNA from 1 species
GGGUGAUGUGGCUGUGACAUGUGUUACCCUACUGAUCACUGGGGUUGAUCUGACUGAGCUGCUGGCAGCUAGGCCAGGGUCCCCUUCCUUCCUAACAGCAUCCCUGCUAUGUUUGCUAAGCUGAAGAGGAUGACCUUCUUGGACAAACACUUCAGUCAAGGUAUAUGAGUAGCUGGGUUCCCCUGCUAAAGCCAGUAAACAAACCCUCAAAAAAUAAAAAUUUAAAAAAAUUAAAAGGAUUAGGGGCCAGGUGUGGCAGCACACCCUUCUAAUCCCAACACUCAGGAGGCUGAGGCAGGAGGAUUGCUCUGAGUU